rnacentral:rRNA from 1 species
AUGCCGGAAGAAAUGGUGCUCUGCGGCACGGCCAGCUUCAAGGACGUUGACAAGGGCGAGCCGACGAGCGGCGGAGGCAAGCAGGCGCAGAGGAAGGAGAAGAAGAAGCCGGGCGCCGGGAAGAAGGAGAACCCGUACGCGUCGCGCGGGCUCGACAAGUUCUCCAUGGUGCUCGCGGAGCUCGAGUCCCGGCGGGAGAAGGUCCUGCGCCGCGUCGACGGCGGCGACCAUGUCAUGGUCCGGUUCGUGCAGUCCGAGACCAAGGGCUGGGUGCCCAUCGUCGUCAAGCUGCCCGCGGAAGAGCCCGCCGCCAAGGCCGAGCCCAAGAAGAAGUGCAAGUUCAAGCUGGCCGUCUCGCCCACGCCUCCGCCCACGCAGCCGCCGUCGCCGCGGACGGAGUCCACCAGCCCGAGAGGAGGAGACGACGCCGUCAUGCACGUCGCGGCUGCGACGGCGCCGGCUGUCGCCGCGGCGCCGGCGAAGAAGAAGGCUUCGGCCGCCGGGAGGUGGCCGUGGGCGGACAAGGCGAUCAGGCCGAGCCAGUACUGGCCGUUCGUGGCGAUGCUGCUGCUGGUGAGCCUGGUCGUGUUCGGGAGGAUGUUCGCCAUCUGCUGCACCUCCAUCUGGUGGUACCUCGUGCCCAUCUUGAACGGCGAGGAUGGAGGACCGAGAUCCAUGGGCAAGACCGGCAGGCAUCUCGGCAAGAAGGCGAGCGACAAGAAGAUCGGCGAGAAGAUUACUUGGGCGUCAUUGCCUCCUUCACAUGGCAAGAAGGGCAGCUCCGGCGACCAUGAGAUGAUUUCGCCUAGAGGAUCACAUGGCAAGAAGAGCAGCUCCGGCGACCAUGAGGUGAUCUCGCCCAGAUCACAUGGCAAGAAAAGUAGUAGCUCCGGCGACCACGACGUGAUUUCACCCAGAAGCCAUGCACAUGGGAAGAAAGGGUAA